rnacentral:tRNA from 1 species
GAGGAUUAUAGUUUAUAGAAAAACAUAUUUUUUGCAAGAAUAAAAAUAACAUUAUGUUAUAAUUCUA